GAAAAUUGAAACUACAAGAGGCAUGUAUGUUUUAAUGCCGCUGAUAUUUCUACUAUUUUGUGUAUUAUUUGCAUCAGCCGCUCCAACCGGCUGUGUACCAUAUGCAUGUGCUUCUCAGGGGUAUGGAUGCGUACCAUGGAACCUCUGCCAUAAAAAGCUAUCGCUUUGCCGGAAUAGCUGUAGGAGGUGCUCUGUUUGCUGCAAACUCAAAAAAAUGAAGUCCUGCUCCUCGGCUGGAGGAACUUGUAAAAGAAGAUGCGAAGUUGAAAACAACACGAUCAAAUGCCCUGGACGACUGAAGUGCUGUGUUGACUUGGAGCGCUAAGCCAAUGCUGAGCAGCCAUUGCCGCAACUUGCCAACACGCUAGUCAUAAUGCCGGCUUGACAAACGAAUGACGAUCUCAAGAGUCACCAUCCAUAUCCUUCUACCCAUUUUGUGCUUCGAAUAAAAAGUGACACGUAUAGAUAAAGAGCAGUAAAGU